CCUACGGUGAGCAGCAGUGAGGAAUAUUGGUCAAUGGACGAGAGUCUGAACCAGCCAAGUAGCGUGAAGGAUGACUGCCCUAUGGGUUGUAAACUUCUUUUAUAUGGGAAUAAAACAGGGUAUGCAUACCCUCUUGUAUGUACCAUAUGAAUAAGGAUCGGCUAACUCCGUGCCAUCAGCCGCGGUAAUACGGAGGAUCCGAGCGUUAUCCGGAUUUAUUGGGUUUAAAGGGAGCGUAGGUGGAUUGUUAAGUCAGUUGUGAAAGUUUGCGGCUCAACCGUAAAAUUGCAGUUGAAACUGGCAGUCGUGAGUACAGUAGAGGUGGGCGGAAUUCGUGGUGUAGCGGUGAAAUGCUCAGAUAUCACGAAGAACUCCGAUUGCGAAGGCAGCUCACUGGACUGCAACUGACACUGAUGCUCGAAAGUGUGGGUAUCAAACAGGAUUAGAUACCCCGGUAGUC
rnacentral:rRNA from 1 species